ACGCUACAUGUUGUUGAAAGUCGAAAGAUGUCCGUCCUUGUCCGUCCUUUCUGUUUAUUCUUUCUGUAUUAAGGAAACUGGAAGCUGCACUAAAGUUCACUUUAGCUGCACUUCCCUAGCUUCUGAGGCGUGCAUCUCCGCAGUAAAUGAGAAAAAUGAAAAGUAAACGCGUAGACCCUAAGUAUUAAAAAGUUACUAACAAAAUAAAUUCAGCGACAUUUUAUAUUCAGUUAUAAAGGAAAUUGCUCUAAAUAAAUAGGUAAUAUCUGGAAAUAUCAGGAAAAAGCUUCAAUGUAUUUACUGCAGAAUUAUUCUAGCCAAUAGCGCCUUUUUCGGCCUGCCGGUACCGCCGCCGUCGCUGUCUCCGCUGUUAUCCUGCUACCGCGCUCGCUUUCUCUUUUCGCGAGUGUUAUUGUCACUUUUAAAAUAUAAAGAUCAAAAGCGAGCGGACACGAAUGAUCCGCUCUCAAGCCUGUGCGAGCAAGCAAGUGCGAGUCUCGAUUUAGGACCGGUGAUUGACAGCCUCCGUCUCGCCACUGUUCUCCAUUUCAUCGAGCACGGCUACAAGGGAAUCGGAAGGAAAGGCCAGUGAGCAGGCAUUAACGGAGCCAAUGGACCAUAAAAAUGCCCCUGGUAAUUUCUACUAUGGAAUGUGCUAUCCUUUUUUACUACCAGUCAAGUCGUGUACAAGGCAAGUUUGAACAUUGUUAUAUGUGCCUACUUGUUUCCAGAGCUGCGAAGCAACAUUUUUUGGUAAUUAGCUACAAAAUUACAGUUCAAGGGUUUGUAUUUUGUGCCAUAUUUGGCACAAAUGAAGCAAUUGCUUCAUAAGCGUUAUGAAGCAAUAUUGUAAUCACAUUGAUAAGAUUGGCGGUGUUUCAUGUUUUGGUGGCUCGAGGGUUUCAUGUUUUUCCCUAAUUAAAAAUUUAGUUGCAAGUCGGCGCCUGUCGCUUACAUUCCUCUCACUCGUCCUUCGUCCAAUUUUUGCGCUUUUUUUGGUUGUAAUGCAUCACCAACUCUCCCAAGUUGCCACUCUUAAGGCACAUUCCCACCGGCGAUGUAAGCAGUCGCGUGAUGCGACUAGAUCGCAUCGCAAACAAAUUAGAUGGUCACACCGGCGUGCGCAAUGAGUGAGUCCAACGCCUUCGUUGGCAAGUCGUUUCUCGAAAACUCUCCCUCCGAACGCCGUUGAUUGGCUCAGCCGCUCCGCGACUAGAUCGCAUCACAAAAAAGUCGGGUCGAGUCGCGACUGCUCGAAUCGCGUCGUUUUUUGCCCGCAAUGGUCGCUUUUGCGAUGAAAGUGAUCGCACGACUAGAUCGCAUCGCCGGUGGGAACGCGCCUUUAUAGUACACUCCGCUUCACUAUAACUUGGCUAAGGGUGAAAGCUAUAUGGCCCCCGUGAGCCAAUUAAAGUGACAGAGGAAAGUACAUGACAGCACUCCACGGGAGGAAUGCACGACGGCUACAUUGUGAUGCAACUCGCUCUGACUGUCUUGCGGGGCCGCAGCGUUUGUUCUUUGCCAUGUUAUGGAAAAAUGUUAGUACCUCACACUAUGCUAUUCGGCUACUAAAAGGUUUUAAAAGUGUUGUGAAAUUUCUCUGCGCUCAUUAUUUCUUCAACUUGAUUUUUUAGGUCCAUGCGGUGUAGCAAGGGCUGCCCAGCACACCAGAGAGUAGCACCUUAGACCAUGCCACUCAGCUACAGAAAUGACCUUGCCAUGCCAGGGACGAACACCUUAGACUACACUACUCAGCCACAGGGCCAUACGGUGCAGAGAGGACUUGCCCACGCCGGGGAUUGUGACCUUACAGUAUGCCAGACAAUUACAGGGCCAUGAAAAGACAGCUGCAAGAUGACACAAAGCAAGAUGGUUUCCCAAUGCGUAAAGAUUGAACACCAACCUCUGAGAUGAAUCAGAAGAAGCGCCUGUAUAAAUAGGACACGAGUGUAGUAAUAAAACCAUAUUGCCAAUAUAAAUUGGCUCAGGGUCGUCCUUUGACUGUUUACAACAUAUCCAGGAAAGAAUAGAACGGAUUUAGGCAUGCGGCAUCUGAAUAUCCAAAACUGGUCUGCAGAACAAAAUUGCACGUACGUCGGACAUCCGCAAUGGGAUCCCCAUUGCGGAUGUCCGACGGACGUGCAAUUUUGUUCGCUUGGGCGCUCUGUCGGAUGUCCUGGGGAUGUUCAUCGGACGUACACGGAUGUUCGGUAGAUCUGAAUUGGAUCUCUAUCGGAUGU
rnacentral:lncRNA from 1 species